CAACUACUCCCACCGUCCCAAAAUUCUUGUUUUAGAUUUGUCUAGAUACAGAUGUAUCUAAUACUAAAAUGUGACUUGAUACAUCUGUAUCUAGACAAAUCUAAGACAAGAACUUUGGGACGGAGGGAGUACUUU
rfam:Triticum aestivum genome assembly, contig: Triticum_aestivum_CS42_TGACv1_scaffold_321224_4BL